AAAGCGACAACGAGGCUCAAGUGC
rnacentral:siRNA from 1 species